rnacentral:rRNA from 1 species
CACCCUUCGGGGCGAGCGGCGGACGGGUUAGUAACGCGUGGGAACGUACCCUUUUCUACGGAAUAGCCUCGGGAAACUGAGAGUAAUACCGUAUAAGCCCUUCGGGGGAAAGAUUUAUCGGUAAAGGAUCGGCCCGCGUUAGAUUAGAUAGUUGGUGGGGUAAUGGCCUACCAAGUCUACGAUCUAUAGCUGGUUUUAGAGGAUGAUCAGCAACACUGGGACUGAGACACGGCCCAGACUCCUACGGGAGGCAGCAGUGGGGAAUCUUAGACAAUGGGCGCAAGCCUGAUCUAGCCAUGCCGCGUGUGUGAUGAAGGCCUUAGGGUCGUAAAGCACUUUCGCCAGGGAUGAUAAUGACAGUACCUGGUAAAGAAACCCCGGCUAACUCCGUGCCAGCAGCCGCGGUAAUACGGAGGGGGUUAGCGUUGUUCGGAAUUACUGGGCGUAAAGCGUACGUAGGCGGAUCAGAAAGUAGGGGGUGAAAUCCCGAGGCUCAACCUCGGAACUGCCUCCUAAACUCCUGGUCUUGAGUUCGAGAGAGGUGAGUGGAAUUCCAAGUGUAGAGGUGAAAUUCGUAGAUAUUUGGAGGAACACCAGUGGCGAAGGCGGCUCACUGGCUCGAUACUGACGCUGAGGUACGAAAGUGUGGGGAGCAAACAGGAUUAGAUACCCUGGUAGUCCACACCGUAAACGAUGAAUGCCAGUCGUCGGGCAGUAUACUGUUCGGUGACACACCUAAC